ensembl:lncRNA
UCUUCCCUGUAGUUUAGUAAGUAAGGCCUUUCACGCUUGAGUUAGAGUUACCUUGCUCAGUGAACAGAUGGAAUAUCAACAUAGCAUCCUUGAAAUCACUUGGCAAGCAGAAAGUGGCCUGUUGGAUUUUUUUUUUUUUACCACAGCAUAUACUCAUCAACUUUUAUUUCACCUCUGAACUAUUAACAUGCUUUUUCAUUUUAGAUGCCCAUAUCACACCUAUAAAAAUGGCCAGAAAGGACAAAUGAGUAGUGACAGAUAUACACUUAGACAUUUUAUUCUGUCAGAUUUGUUCCAGCAACAGUUGAUUUCCAGAAUCAAUACUGACAGACGGUCAGUCAUUCUAGAUAUCAGCAUCUUCAUAAAUCAAAUCUUACUCUAUAUCACUGUAUCCAUACAGACAGCAUAAGAAAAGCAAAACCCCAAGAGUUUCAAUUAGGCAUGUCCAUGACCGAUGUCAUGAAGUUCACAUGUACUUCUUGCAUAAUUUGGCCUCAGCAUGUUUUCCAAUUUCCAGGAGAAUGUAGAAGCUUUAACCAAUCAAUCUACAUGUUUUUGAGAUUGAUAUUACAUGCUGCUUUACAAGCAAAGAGGUUGUACUCCAUCCCCAGCUAGACGAGUUAUCAAUAAGUCUUGAGCAAAGCAAGGGCAUUUCAUGCCUGUAAACCCUUGGCACUCAUCUUAAGAGAUGAUAGCAAGAUUCUGACCCUGAGUAAGUGACACCAGUCACUAAUAAUAGCAGACUCAUUUGUGCUGUGGUUUGCACAAAAAAAUCAUUUUUUCACAUGAGCUGAAUGCUUAGGAACUCCUGCUAUUCUUGGGCUAAGUGUAACCAAGAUGUCCCACUAGAGUUGGUAGGGGGAUGCAACUUCCUCUUCCAAACCACUCAGCACUUCUCUCCAGUCCCCUAGCAAAAUUUGCUAGUAACUUUCUGUGUGACUUCUCCAAAACAAGUAGAAGUGCUCAUAAGCAACAUAUUAGAGAACAUUUAGCACCUAUGCCUUAACCUGAGCUGGAUCUCAGUUUCAUGGUGGUUGGGGCACCGUCAGGCUGCGUGUGGAAUUCCUAAAGCCAAGGUCCUGCCGUGAAAAGGACAGAACUGGAUAUUCAGCAUCUGAUAUGCUGAGCCUGAGACAUGUCUAACCCAGCUGACAGCAGAAUGAUCUGAAAUCCUGCUGCUCCUCUGGGCCUACAACCUGUUUCAAGUCUCUUCCCUUGGUCAUAAUCUGGUUAAAAACACAAGAUUGAAAACACCGCUUGGAUUUUGGGUACCAAGCGAUCCUAGUGGCUGUCAGUCUUCCUUUCCUGAAAGCUGAGGAGGACAGAUCUCAGAGGGAGAUUUGUCUAACCAUUACUCCCAGAUGCCCCAGUCUUCCUCACAGGAGCAUGAGCCGCUAGCUCUGGACUCGAGUCUGCUCAGGUGCAGUUCCCAGCCUUUAGACAACGGGUUCUUCGCUUACUCUAGUUAUUAUUUCUGUUGAUGCACAGGUGAAGAGGAACAUCACUCCUAGUAUGGAAAAAAGUCUGUUCUAAGCAAGGCCAGAAUAUAUCUGCUCAGAUUUCUCCUUUACUACUUUCUUACAAGCUGCUGAAUGAGAUCAAGUUGUUCCUUCACAACCUUCCUGAGCAUCUUUGGGUUUCUCAUUUGUACUGAACGUUUAAAAAGCAAAGAACUAGCUGAAAAAAAGUGAGCAAAAGAAGCAGCCACUGACUUUUCUGGAAAUUGUUUUGAUUCCUCAGCGAGUGAGAAGGGUUAAGUAAAAGCAGCUAGAUUAUUAACAGUAUGCACCAAGCAGUGAAAGUAAGCCCUAAACUUAUAUUUAGCCAUUCUUGGUAUUCAGCCAAAACAAGCAACAGUAGCUCCUAUUUAAGGUUUGGUGCCAGUUCUCUUGGUUAGAUACUGUAUUCUUUCUUGAUAAUGUGGGCAGCACCAGCAAAAUCAGCUCUUGUCAUUCCAUCUAAAAAGACAGCCACCACACUGAGCCCAAUUACUUGCGUUCCCAGCUACCUGGGGCACGUCAGAAGAGCACCGAGUAAGUUGAAUAAGCAAUUCACUCAAUGCUUGUGCUGAAAAUGAGUGGCUUUUCAAAGCCGUGUGAGUGACUACGUGGUUUUUGCAGCGUUCCAGCAUUUCAAGAAUAAAACAGCGCUGUUAUCUAUUUUAAGCACUGUGCCAUUUGAGACAGUUGCAAACUAUGUUAGCAAGCUGCAGUGCAGGCAUAUUCAGAGGUUUCACACAAUUACUGGAGGCCACAGUACUUUGAUAAUUAUUUUCACUUUUCACCUGCUCAACCAGAGUAGCUGAAAAAGAUUAAUUUCAUGCUAUAACUGAAUUCCCAAAGGAACCAGAAGCCUCUGAUUGCACACACUGCAGCUCAAAUACAGCAGCUCAUUCAUACGCUGUAGAGGGCUUAGGGGAAUAAGAACAGCAGUGCCACAUAAAUAUUCAAUUUACACCUGCAAAUCAAAUGGUAGCAUUAAUGCACUUGGAGAUAAAUCUAUAGCUGGCUACCACAGCAGACCUCUCAUUAGUUCAUUUUUACUGUUUUAAGGGACAGCUUAAUGUAAAGAAAACUUCUGUAGUGCGUCAGGCAGCACAUUUCAAAGCGAAGUACCUUCCCUGCUUUAUAACGAGGCUGUGGAGCUUGUCGUCACAGAGCCAGGAGGAGUUCAGGAGGCUGUUUGUGCAGACUGGGCUCCGAGGCGGCUGCUCAACAUGGCGGUCUGGAUGCGUGUGCCAUACCAGGAAGUUCCCUAUGGCGCUGGGCCUGGGAUGGAUCUGCUGUGGGACACAGGAGGUUAGGCGGAGCAGACCUCUGGCUUUAUCUGACAUGGCCAUUCUUCCCUUCUCCCGUACUCAUCAGCAAUAACUAUACUGACUGGGUAAAAUCUAUGAACUUGUAAACGUUGUCAGCUUUGCUCAAGGUAUCCUCCCUGCAUCUGAUAUCCUCUCUGCAACCAACUUCAUGUCUGUAUGUGGCAGUCUUCAAUAAAAGGGAUAUGUGUGUUUGCACAGGUUAAUUGCAGCCAACAGGCCUGAAGAGACCCCAUCAAGUAAGUUCCUUUCUGUCCUUUCUCUUACUUCUUACUGUCUCCUCCACAUUUUAAAACACUCGACAAACAGGUGAAAUCUGACAUUGUGCUAUCUUUUUAACAUCGAUGCAAAACAAAUGAAUUUUAUUAGUAAGAAUUUUGGGUUUCUAAGACUAUACUGAGAAAUCUUGAUUUCCCAAACCAACUACAAACAAAUUAAUCCAAUGAUUAAUGGCCACUGAAGCCUCGAUAAACUCCUCAUCUUUGUUAGUCAACCACCCCACAUAAACUGCAGCAAGUCAACUAGCAGGAAGUAACUGAAGAACCAGUACACUUUCCCAUCCUCUCCUGCACUUAGUUCAUAGGUCACAUUUGUUGAGACUUGGUUCACUUCAGUAUCACUAAGAUUUUAGAGCAUGUGACUUCAUGGUUCAGUUCAAAAUUAUGCAAAUUAGGUAUCAAGAUAAUUUAGUAGUUUUGUUUACAUUAAGUAUGGAAAUCCCUUUUUACAUCUUCAGAUACACCCACGCUUUAACAUACUUACAGAGCAGUGCACAAAGCUUUGCUUUACUGAAUACAAAGAACUGUUGUGAAUGAUUCUACAUGAUUUUGUAUUUAAAAUCACUUUUUAUCAAAUCAUCCUCUUAUCCUUUAGUGUCUUAAGCAAAUAUUUCUCUGCCACAAGCAAUAAGAUGCAGCUGAAAGCAGUUUGUUGGAGGCAGAUAUGUUCCAAACAUCUAGACGUGUUAUAUUUCAGACAAUGUUAUCUCUUCUUCCGUAAGUACUGUUUGUAUUUUCCCACAAGAAAGCCAGAAAAAAAUCCUUUAACAGGGAGUGCAGUGAUACAAGGGUUAAUGGCUUUAAACUAAAAGGUAGUAAGUUUAACUUAAGUAAGUUUAAAUUAAAGAAACUCUUUCUGUGAGGGUGGUGAGACACUGGAACGGGUUGCCCAGGGAAGCUGUGGCUGCCCCAUCCCUGGAGGUGUUCAAGGCCAGGUUGGAUGGGGCCCUGGGCCGCCUGAGCUGUUGGGAAGUGUUCCUGCCCAUAGCAGGGGGAUGGAACUGGAAGGUCUUCCGGGUGCCUUCCAACCCAAGCCAUUCUGUGAUUCUGUAAGUGAAUUUGAGAAUCUUCCUAGUAAAGUGUGGCUCAAAAUACACUCCCAAUGCCCUAUGAGAAAGUCUUACUCUCCAUCUGUUUCAAAAAGACUACAUCAGGCUUAAACACUUCUUAACAACAACAAAAAAAGUGAAAAAUUAAUUCACUUGAAAAUUUGACUGGUUGAUGAGGAGAUCUUCCUGUGAAUUUCCCUGUAGUGUAUCCAAGUAUGAAAUGCAAAAAGGGAAACACAAAAGGAACUGUCUAGAUGGUAGGCAGCCUUUCUGAGUUUAUAAAUUAGGUCCACACUCAAUCACUUCCACUGGGAUUGAGAGCUGUUGCAGAAAGUCAUGACUAAAAGUACACCAAGCUCUUAGCAGCUCCUCAGUUGAUUUGUGAGGACUGUAAGGCACGUCUUGAACAACAGACAAAUGGUGCUUGGCUUUUACUUAAAAGAGACUCACAGCUUUACUCUAUGGUGGCAUUUUAAAGCCCAUUGGGGUAGGGUUCUGGUAUUAUUCUAUGGCAUUAGCUGACCUCUUUCAAAUCAUCCACAUUCAUACAUCAGAAAAAGAGGAAAAUAUUACUCUUGGCUUACAAGUAUCAGAGAAAUUGAAGUGCACUGAGAGCAACUUUUAUAAGAGAUUUUGUAAUAUAAAUAUAGCCCAUGCAACUUAUAUCAUAACAAUGUUAUUCUGUUCUCUAGCCCUGACAGGACCAUUACGCAUAGGUAUUUCAAUUUAUUCCACUUCCAAGAGCCUUCUUUCAUAUCAUGGAACAAAUUUCAUUAAAUCACAGCUUUCAUGUGCCAACCAUAAGUUUCAGUUGGCUUCUAUUUUCCUCCAAGUGCAUUGUAAGUAUAAUACUAAAUCCUCACAAAUACCAAGAGGGCUUACUCCUGUAAGGUGCUAAAUGUCCUCCUCCCUUUCCAGGUCAAAUAAGCUCCAGCUGUCUAUCAAAUGCAAUGCUGAACUGUUGCUUUCUUUCAGUGUCAUUAUUUUCAAAAAUGCAGUCAUAGGAGACUUCAGAUAUAUAGUCAGCUCCGCUCAGUUACAGAUUGGCAAUUUAUCUGGAUUACUGCCUGACCUCGCUGCAAGUAGAGACACUUCACAGGGCUCUGUGCAGAACCAGCCCAGCACUAGUUUAUUAUUCCAGGGACUGCACUGCAUGAGUGCACCUGUAUUGUUCCAUACCACAACCUGGAAGCAAUGCUUCGGUGAAAGCAGUCCAGCUAUUAAAUACUGCUGAUCUGCCACACUGCAGUUAGCGAUCUACAGGACCACAGAGCUGCCUCUGCUCAGACUGCAAGGACUGAUAUAUUGAAAAUUAGGUGGAAUACCCCUUUGCAUAGUGGGAUAGAUAUAGGACAAGCACAAGAAAGCUUGGGGCAAAAAAGGAAGAGCUGGGGCAAGGAAGAAAAAAAAAAUGACUGAAGCAAUAGUAGCUCAGACCAAUAUUCCACUUACAGUGCAAGGAAGGAGGUUAAAAGUAUGACCAUAACAAGGAGCUGUUCUUCACUACAGAAGGUUUCUUCACUACAGCCUGGAUGCAGGGUCAGAUGACAGCAGCUUGAGCUCAAUAGCCGGGAAAAGCACUUCUGAAACCUAAACCUUCAGACAACAUAACACAUUGCCGCUGGGGUGUCUAUGGCAUACACUUCGUGGUUGAAGACAUACCCAGAAUUUCAGUUGCUCCAAAGACUGUUGUGCCAGGCUCCAUCAUACAGAUAAACACUUUCAGACACCUAGGUUGAGGGGUUCAGCUUUGUCCCUAUUUUCUCCUGUUGUCUGUAAGUAUCAGCUUCAAGGUAGCUACUGACAGUAACCACGGCUGCUGGGGAGGGGGCAGUGCCCCAGCCUUGGCUCCCGCCUACUUUCUUCCCAGCUGAUGGGAGCCAUCCAGUUGCAGAAUCUAGUGUGCCCCUUCCCCAGCAAAUUCUUCUGCUGGGAUGUGGUGGUCACAGUGUGCGGGCUUUUUUGGCAACAACUAUCUAUUCUUGGAGGCCAAAGUCUGCCUAAGGUGCCCUUUCACUUCAAGUUUCAUCUGAUCAAUUCCUUAUAAAUACCUAAGAGCUUCCUCAGUCCUGCAGGCAGAAGAGCUUUUCCCCAGUUUUGCUUAUUCAGAAAGAGAUUUUCUUUAUGUUUUGGUAGCCAUACCUUUAGGAGCUGGCACCAGAUAGGACACAUAAACACAGUACAUAUGAAAUAUGUGGGACCAGUGGUUCUCCUUACUACAUGAGAGUCCGGUGAAGAGUUUCAGUGAUGGGUGGUAACUUGCCAAAGCAGCAAGCAUUGAAGAUACACUGCAAACAAAGAGCCAUGUCUGCUAUCAUCCCAGCAGGUGCAAAAUUUGCAGACAGAAUCAAAAACUGAUAAAAUUCACAGAUGAGAAGAGAUGUCAUAGAGGAAUAUGGGUAGCCUGAUGAGAAGAGCGCUUUGCAAACAGAAAACAUCCAUACGUGCUCACAUUACUCAUCUAGGAAGGGGCAGUGCAGGUCCCUCUGAAUAGCUGUGGGGCUACAGAGCAGCGACUGUGAAAGAUCUAGAGCCCAUAGGUGACAAUCAGUUAUGAAUGAGCUCUGGCUGCAGUGCUGUAUAAGCAGGGAUGGUGCAGUCUCUGUAUUGGAAGCAAGGAGCAGAGCAGCUUUUCAUCAUCCUGACCGAAGUGCUGAAUUUAUCAAAACCAAGAUCUCCGUGGAAGGAUGGCAGCUGAAGAAAUGAAAAUGUAUACUCUGAUUGAUACAUACGUUUCAUCUGAUAAUUUGCUUCGUGAAAAAUUAAGAACUCCCAAAUAAAAGAAAAUUAUAAACCUCUAUAAAGCUGCAAAUUUUCUUCUGGUGAAGAACCUUCUUGCAUACAGUUCUCUAAAGAAGCAUAGAUUAGGAGUGGGCAAUGAUUUUACACUUGUAUAAAACAUCAUGAAACUGAUACAGUAACACAAUAGAAAGCUGAGAUAUCUGUAUUUUAAAAACACAUGCAGGAAAAAUGGAGAAUCUGUUAAAAAGAAAACAAACAGAAUUCAUUUGAGAGCAUCAGAAAAUGGAUUUUAGAGAGAAACGAAGGCUCUCGUUUUGAGUCUGUUACUACCUUUGGGUCCAACAUUCACACAAGAAGAAAGCAGUGCUUGAAAUGUUCUGCAGUUUAGGAUCGAAAAUCCCAACAGGAACCUAAUGGCUCGAAACUGAAAUGAGACAAAAUAAAAUUAGAAAUAAGGAGAAAAAAUUAAUAGGGAGAAUGGGAUAAUAUUUAAACCAAUAAUAGUGGAAAUGAUGAAUUCAGUCUUUUCAUGUCUUCAGAUCAAUACCACAGGCAUCACUGGAACACAAACUGUAGCCAGGCAAAAGACCUUCAGAUCAAUACAAGGGUAAUGAACGAAAUUUAAUAGCCUGCAAACACACAAGAGGUCAGAUCAGAUGAUUCAAUGGUCCCUCAGGAUUUAUAAUCUGGGGACAACCAUACGAGAUCAAAGCACACUGGGCAGGGUAAUGAAAUGAGCGUGCAUUGCAGUCUUUGCCAGGACUGCUGCACUAGAAAGUUAAGAAGUACAGGACUUCCUUUUCCUUCGUGCUCAUCCAUCUCUUGAUUUUGUUCCUCCAUCAGAAGAUGCUUUGUGGAUAGAGUCCCCCACUGACUGCAAAUGUUCCUAUAGAAUCACAUUGCUGGGGUGAUGGUGAGACUUAUAACAUUUAUGUCCAUCACUUCCAGGUGACAGCCUACUUUUCAAACCCAUAUCUCCCACGUUUGGUCUCAAGAGAAAUUUUAAAGUGAUUGAGGGAGGACUGCUGUCAUGGUUUUGGACUGAAAUCAGGAGGAAAACCAUUCAUCUGUAAGAAGAUACUUCGCAGUCUCUUUCACUGCUCCUUCAAAAAGCCAGACUUUCAGGUGGUAGGUCCAUGGAGGAAACUAGGCUGUUGAGACAUCGUACACAAUGAAACAGUAGCAAGUGAUCACCAGAGAGCAGUUCUGAAUAUCUACAGCACAGAGGGCAUCCUUCUUCCUGUUAAAAUACUGGCAGUUUUAUGGAACAGCAAGUCUUCGUCUGUGAAUGUUCGGAGAAAUGACUGCAUGGCUGCGUACUUCAUUGAUGCUCCACAGCAGAAACAAACAAUUCCAGAGUUUAAGUUGAAUCGGUGGGAGGUUUGGUCUCAUGCCUAAAUAGCAUCUUAUACCAUCAGCUCCUGAUUCAUUUCAGGUUGAAUCUAAACAAGUUAAGCACAGCUACUCGGGCACUUUUACUAAAGGCAAUCUGUCAAGGCAGAGAAAAACAUACUCUGUGUCUAUGACAUGGAAGCCAUAUAUCCCAGUAUAUAUCCCCAACCCCUUAUCUUUUAGAUUGAGGGUUGUCCAGGGUAAAGAUGUUACAGUCUGCCCAGGAAGACAAGGCUUCAGCCAACAAUCCCUGUGGCUUUCUAGUGCCACUGUGUAAUACUUCAGUGAUUGUUUUAAUAAUCAUUACAACUGUUUUGCAUUAAACACUAAUUCCUAGUUAAACAACUAAACAAUGUUCCUUUGUUCACGUCUUUCUGCCGAGAAGUCAUCUAUCUGUAACCCUAGC